UGUGAUUGUGGGAGUUGACAAAUACGA
rnacentral:piRNA from 1 species